CUUUCCUGAGAGUUAAAACCCUAGUUGCAUGCUGACCAGCUCUUGGCUCUUCACAGUUACCCACUGUCAACUCCAAAAUCUGUAGCAGAUUAAGAAAGCACAAGUUGAGGACAGCCCAAAGUAAAGAGAAUAAGAAUUAUGACAAAUAUUGCAGAGAAUAUAAUUCCCUUUUUAUUCGGUGCUUUGGCAGAGUUUCCAUUCUGAGAUGCUAGAAGAACAGAGAAAAAAACCCAGAGGAAUCAGGGAGAACUCAUAUUAAAAUACAGUGCACCUUGAUUUGAGCCUUUAUGAUCUCUUCAAAACACAACUCUGCAAACAGAGUGCAAGUAUAAAGUGUGGUUUGAGGAAAAAAAAAAACAAACAAAAAGUAAGAAUAUAUCACACCAGUCAAUCUCUAUUUCAGGAAGUGAAGCAAAGUCCGCAGCAAAGUGGGCCUCCCAGAAAUACUCUGCCACCCACAGCAUUGUGUAACCUUCCUUUGGUGUGAAACAUGGCUGGGCUUAGCUCCUGCUAGCAGCAGUUAGCUAGACCCCAUGCAACCUUGCUGAAAGUUAAAGAAACAACAAACAAAUGCUGUUAUUUCCCUCCCUCUGCAAAAGUGUGUCUGAUUAAACUCCUUUUACAAAGCCCUACAACAGCAGAAAUGAGUCCUGCAGUUUCUGAUAGGAAAACUGCUGGCUCCACACCCCACCAGAGGGAAUGGAAAGGCCAAUUUGCUUGAGAGCUGUUCAUGUUUUGGAUCUUGCCUCUUUUUGGAGCUUUUGACCUUUAUUGUCCUACUUUAUUAUCUGGGAUUUUUUACCCAUUUCUCUUAUUUUCUCCCAUCAGCCAGUUUUCUUUGUUUCUUUCUACUCACAGUUUCCAAAACUGAACAAACAAGGACUGGACAUGGUCAGGCUCCUCUAGGAUGAUUUUCAGUUCCAGGAAGAGCAUGCAGCAGAUGAACAUGCAAAUGAGGAUGAAUUUUAAAGAAUCUAAGAAAGCAUGCUUCUGAAAUCAGCAGCGCACCUAGGUUCUGCUCUGCGGCUGGGACCCACCGGAGCGCGCUGCGGUGUGCCAGUGGGAGAAGCCUCAGGCAAGCUCCAGCCUCUCUCUGCAGGCUCCAGCCUCUCUCUGCAGGCUCUCUCGCUCUCGCUCUCUCUCUCUCUCUCUCUGCCACUGCCUCCGAGCUCGGCCCGAGCUCUGCCCGAGGCGGGGCCGACAGCGGGCCCCGCGCUGCCGCAAAGCGCGCC